ensembl:lncRNA
GUGUUUCUGAGAUAACAACAUGCCAGUCCGUUGUUGGAUUUUCAACAUGGCUAACCGUAAAUCAUCUUACACUGUCUUUAAGCGUGACGGAUACCCGAGCCAACUCUGCUCUAACUGUUGACUAGCAGCGGCGCGAGUCAGAUUGCCCCCUAGUGGAUGGCUAAAGAUUUGCGAACUCAUAUUCAUAAAUCCUCAAGGGAAUGUCUCUGAAUUUACUGAUGCCCGCGCCUCCCUUUCUAUCUAGUAUUAUUAUUAUUUUAAAGUUGGCUACUUAUUAAAUAAGAUUACAUUUAAUUUGUUAUGCUUUUUGUUAUAUUUAUUUUGUAUUCCCUUGUUUUACAUGUUUGUAUGGUCUGAGUUCAACUACCAUAUAAGGACAUUUUUUAAAGUGGGCAGUGUCUGAGCCCUGCCUUUGAUAGCCAAGCUACUGGCUUCAUUAGUUGUUGUUUUUUUCAUUUCUUCACAGAUCACCAUGGACAAAGUUGCACUGAAACUAACUCUCUUCGGCCUUCUCUUCACCUGUGUGAACUUGGCUGCUAAAAACAAGCCGAUAUGCUACUACAGUCAUCACAAGCCGUGUGGCAAACCUGUUGAAUCAAUCUCAAGAGGUCCAUUUUGAUGUCAAGAUUCCCAAGGAUGCCUUCAUAAGCCAGUUUAGAAUGACCAUAGAGGGGAAGACAUAUGAUGGGGUUGUGAAGGAAA